rnacentral:rRNA from 1 species
GAUGAACGCUGGCGGCGUGCUUAACACAUGCAAGUCGAACGGGAUCCCAGGGGUGCUUGCACUUUUUGGUGAGAGUGGCGAACGGGUGAGUAACACGUGAGUAACCUGUCCUUUUCUUUGGGAUAAGCAUUCGAAAGGGUGUUUAAUACCUUAUGUUCUUUCUGCCUCGCAUGGGGUGGGAGGUAAAGGCUUUGGCGGGAUUUGGGUGGGCUCGCGGUCUAUCAGCUUGUGGGUGGGGUGAUGGCUUGCCAAGGCUUUGACGGGUAGCCGUGCUGAGCGGGUGGUAGGUCAGAUCGGGACUGAGAGACGGCCCAGACUGCUGCGGGAGGCAGCAGUGGGGGAUAGUGCAGAAUGGGCGAAAGCCUGAUGCAGCGACGCCGAGUGGGGGAGGAAGGCGUUCGGGUGGUAAACUUCUUUUGCCCUGAACAAGGCAUGACAGUGCGUGUGUGGCGUGUAGGGGUUGAUUAGCGCCGGCUAACUACGUG